rnacentral:rRNA from 1 species
UGAGUAGCAAUACUUGACAGUGGCGCACGGGUGCGUAACGCGUAUGUAACCUACCUAUGAUAGGGGAAUAGUCAGGAGAAAUUUUGAAUAAUACCCCGUAUUAUUUAGUCAUCGCAUGAUGGUUAGAUGAGAGGAGUAAUCCGAUGAUAGAUGGGCAUGCGUAAGAUUAGCUAGUUGGUGGUGUAACGGACCACCAAGGCGAUGAUCUUUAGGGGUUCUGAGAGGGAUGUCCCCCACACUGGUACUGAGAUACGGACCAGACUCCUACGGGAGGCAGCAGUAGGGAAUAUUGGGCAAUGGAAGGAAUUCUGACCCAGCCAUGCCGCGUGCAGGAAGAAGUCUUUCGGGAUGUAAACUGCUUUUACAUGGGAGGAGAUAAGUCAUGCGUGACUUUAGGACAGUACCAUGGGAAUAAGGACCGGCAAACUACGUGCCAGCAGCCGCGGUAAUACGUAGGGUUCGAGCGUUGUCCGGAUUUAUUGGGUUUAAAGGGUACGUAGGCGGCUAAAUAAGUCAGUGGUAAAAUUCUGUGGCUCAACCAUAGUAUAGCUAUUGAUACUGUAUAGCUAGAGAUACGAAGAGGCAUUAGGAAUUUGUGGUGUAGCGGUGAAAUGCAUAGAUACCACAAGGAACGCCGAUUGAGAAGUCAUGAUGCUGGGAGUAAUCUGACGCUGAGGUACGAAAGUGUGGGGAUCAAACAGGAUUAGAUACCCUGGUAGUCCACACUGUAAACGAUGAUUACUAGAUAGACAUGAGCGAUUGUGUUUGUCUAAGCGAAAGCGAUAAGUAAUCCACCUGGG